rnacentral:lncRNA from 1 species
CACCCUCUGGAACCAGUUACCCCUGGAAUUGUGUCUGGCCCCUGAUCUCCGCUCCUUCCGCUGUGACCUUAAAACAUGGUUAUUUUCACAAUCCUGCCUGGACUGACAGGGGAUCGGGGUUUUAACUUGGAAUGUUUACUUGCGCUGUAAUUUAAUAUUUUUUAAAUUGUUUUAAUUUUUAUAUUGUUCAUUUUUAUGUACGCCGUCCUGAGUCCUUUGGGAGAGAGGGCGGCCUAUAAAUCCAAAUAAACUAAACUAAAAAAACCAAACUAUUAUAGCCACUUGAAAAUGUCUUGGAGUCCAAAGGUUAUGCAUACAAUAUCAAAUAUCAAAUUCUACUUCCUUUUAGGCAACUGAGUCUUGAAUAAUAGAAGAGAAAGCAUUGGGGGACUUGAUAUCAAUUUCUGACAACAGAAGAAACUACUCUUGGAAAAAUAAAGACAGAAACUUCUGUUCGAAAUACAUAUCUGAACAUGAACAAUUCCAUCACAUUUGAAGAACAGACAAAAGAAAUUGCAGAAGUAUUGUUUACUACCCUUUAUUCAAGGAAGCAACAUCCUCUCCAGCCUAGAAGAAUGAUUGUAAUUGAAGACCUAGAACUGACAAGAUACAGGACCUGGACAAGUGUGCCGGCAGACCCAGAACUGAUAAGACACGGGGCCCAGGCAAGUGGCCCAGCAGUUGAUUCUACAAGCAGUUUUCAUCCAGCUGAUAUUGCCAGAUUACUGAGAUCCAUAAGAGAUAAGUACAAAGCAGAGUUGGAUGGCCAUGUGCAGGCAAUUAUUGCAGAGGAAAGCAUAACAAAGGGUAAUCUUGGAAGAGGUCUAAACAGUCCAUAGUUUCUUGGUUCUAAUAUAAAAGAGUCAUCUGCUAUUUUGGAGGAAAUAGAGCUGGAGAGUUGCUUCAAAUCUGAAAUGGAACUGCAAAUGAAUUGAAAAAGCAAUUCUGUAAAGAAACAAAAAUUUUUUAAUUAAUUUAAAAAGAAACUCAUAAUAGCUUGGUUAUCAUUCUAAUUAAAUUGUCAGUCAAGGAAUUACAUAGAUAAUUCCUGCAGCCACAAUUCCACAGAAUACAUUACACCAAUUUACAGUCCCUUGUUUUAGUAGAUCAUCAAUUCCUUGGUCCUAGUUAUUAAUAUAUUCCUGUUUCAUACAAAGGAAAUGUCUAUAUUUGGGAAGACUAGAGCAUUACUUGCAUCUCAUUUUCCUGGGUUGUUAGUUGGUGUCAGUUCUUUAUAUGUAAACAUUUGCAGGAUAAAAUAUCUCAGAAAAAAUAUUGUAAAGCAUAUUAGAAAGCUUUAACUAUAUUUAAUAAUUACCUAUCUUUACCCUGUAUUAAAUAUAGAAUAUAGAUAGAACAAAAAUAUAUUUAUGUAUAAGUUAAUUUCUGUUAUUAUUGCACAUAUGAUUGUUAUAU